AUUGAACGCUGGCGGAAUGCUUUACACAUGCAAGUCGAACGGCAGCAUAGGUGCUUGCACCUGAUGGCGAGUGGCGAACGGGUGAGUAAUACAUCGGAACGUGCCCAGUCGUGGGGGAUAACGUAGCGAAAGUUACGCUAAUACCGCAUACGAUCUACGGAUGAAAGCGGGGGACCGUAAGGCCUCGCGCGAUUGGAGCGGCCGAUGUUAGAUUAGGUAGUUGGUGGGGUAAAGGCUCACCAAGCCGACGAUCUGUAGCUGGUCUGAGAGGACGACCAGCCACACUGGGACUGAGACACGGCCCAGACUCCUACGGGAGGCAGCAGUGGGGAAUUUUGGACAAUGGGCGCAAGCCUGAUCCAGCCAUUCCGCGUGCAGGACGAAGGCCUUCGGGUUGUAAACUGCUUUUGUACGGAGCGAAAAGCCUUGAGUUAAUACCUCGAGGUCAUGACGGUACCGUAAGAAUAAGCACCGGCUAACUACGUG
rnacentral:rRNA from 1 species